UAGGUAGGGGUAAAGGAUAGAUAAUAGACAGUAACAGCAGUAUACUGUAGGUAGGGGUAAAGGAUAGAUAAUAGACAGUAGACUUGUGGGAGGAGUGCUGAUGAGUCGCCCACUGUAUGAGCUUUGGUAGCCUGUUUGUGUCCAGACUGAGAAGAAAUCCGCACACAAUGCAUCCCUGACCAACUUCUGAAGUGGUCUGCAGAUCUGAACACAAUCAGACCACAAAGUGACUUUUGACCCGUCUUUUCAACGUGAUCUUCAUGUUCUGAUAGCAGAAGUUGCAUAACCAUAGUGGACAACGUGUCAGUGAACCUGGGGCUCUACACCUUCAUACAGUUCUUUGAUGCUCUACUGUGUGUGUGUUCAGGUAUCCUGGUUGGAGCAGGAAAACAGAAGAUAGCUGCGCUGUCUAACCUGGUCUCAUACUAUUGCAUUGGCCUUCCGGUCGGCAUCGCUUUGAUGUUCGCUGCUAAGCUCAGGAUACUAGGUUUGUGGGUAGGUCUCUUCAUCUGUGUCAUCCUCCAAACUGGGUUCUUCAUCGUCAUCAUCUUCAAACUCAACUGGCAGCUUGUCGCCAAGGAGGCCCAGGUGCGUGCUGGGAAGAGUGGGUUGGUAACGUGUGUUCCAGCGAAGCCUCCUAUUGGACAGCGGCUGAUUAAAAAUCUGCUUCCAGAAGGUUCUCGAAGCACUGACAUGGUGAGGGAAUAUAUGUGUCUGUCCAGCAUCCAUGUAUAU